AGCAGUCGCCGCGGUAAUACGGAGGGCGCGAGCGUUACCCGGAUUUACUGGGCGUAAAGGGCGUGUAGGCGGCCUGGGGCGUCCCAUGUGAAAGGCCACGGCUCAACCGUGGAGGAGCGUGGGAUACGCUCAGGCUAGAGGGUGGGAGAGGGUGGUGGAAUUCCCGGAGUAGCGGCGAAGUGCGCAGAUACCGGGAGGAACGCCGAUGGCGAAGGCAGCCACCUGGUCCACUUCUGACGCUGAGGCGCGAAAGCGUGGGGAGCAAACCGGAUUAGAUACCCCCGUAGUCCCUGUCUCUUAUAC
rnacentral:rRNA from 1 species